rnacentral:RNase_P_RNA from 1 species
CGAGAUGGCCAGGCGGCCGCGGCAGUGACGGGAGACCAUCGCUGUCGAGGAACGUCCGGGCUCCACAGGGCAGGGUGGUUGCUAACGGCAACCCGGGGCGACCCGCGGGACAGUGCCACAGAGAACAGACCGCCAGUUUCGGCUGGUAAGGGUGAAACGGUGGUGUAAGAGACCACCAGCGCCGCCGGUGACGGCGGCGGCUCGGUAAACCCCACCUGGAGCAAGGUCGAGAGGAGCCGCGAGGCUCUGCGCGAAGGUUCGAAGGCGGCCCGCUUGAGUUGCGCCGCAGGUUCGCGGUGAACGCCUUCGCGGGUAGACCGCUCGAGCGCGUCGGCGACGGCGCGCCUAGAUGGAUGGCCGCUCAAUGACAGGACCCGGCGUAUCGGCCAUCUCGUUCC